GCCGAAGAUUGCGAAAGAUUUGGGUGUGGACUACGCCGGGAUGUAGUGCGUUUGCGAUGUCCGGAUCAUCGUGUCCAGGAGCAGCUUUGUCAGCAGGAAAUGGCCUGGGUGAAUGCGUGCUAGUUAGUUUUUUUGAUACGUUUGUAUUCUAUCUGACCGAGAUGGUUUAUUGCGAACUGUAACUCCAUCUUUUCUUCAGAUAGCUGCAGGCCUCGGCAGAUUACCCCGGCAUUAUUUCUUCACAGUGCAAGCAUGUCACAACAAGAAGAGAAGGCGUACGAUGAAAGCUUACAUGAGAAUAUUUAGUGGAGCGUUCAGAGAUUUGAACUCGUCGACAAAGCCUUCAAAGUUCUCGCCGGAAUAACGACGUGAGCUCCUCGCAUCGCCAGCACUCUCGCCGUUUCCAAGCCAAUUCCAGAUGUAGCACCUCAAGGGAAG